CAGAUCCUAAGCACUGGAUAUGAAGGCCAAGUAAAAGGUCUUGGUUCUGGGCAGGAUCCACAGUCACAUUUCAAGAUUACCACCUCAUCCAGGACUUAAGAGACCAAGACCCAGGAGAAAAGGAAACCUCAGAGAGGUCUUAAUUUUCAUCCAGACCGCCUUCAGCCCACUUCUACUGACCACAAGCUUUUGGAUGCUGCCCUUGGUCUCUGAGCACAGCAGAAUACGGGAGAAUCCCUUCCUGCUGGAGACAUGAUGCCUUAUCUUCCCUCCCAAAGGGCCAUCUCUGCUUCAAUUCCACUGCCAGCCACAUCCUUGCUACUGCCCUCUUACUACUUCCUAUUCUAGCCAAACUGUAUUAGUUUUUAAUUUAUUUCACUCAGUUAUUCUUAAUACAGUUUAAAUAUAGACAAUACAAAAUAUGGAUAUUUAUUUUAUUUAUUAUUAUAUAUGCAUAUUCAUGUUAUCUUUGAUACUGCUACUUGGUCCACACAGGUGGAUAAGGUACUAUAUUUACCAUCUGACCCUUUAUAGAAAAAGUUAGCUGACCCCUCGUCUAAACUAUGAAGACAGAAACAUCUGUUUUGUUCCCUAUUGUAGUCCCACGACAGGUGCAAAUGUGUCCUAAGUGAAUAUCAUUAAGUGAAUAAAUGAUGGAAAAA